rnacentral:rRNA from 1 species
GGGUUGUGAGGUUAAGCGACUAAGCGUACACGGUGGAUGCCCUGGCAGUCAGAGGCGAUGAAGGACGUGCUAAUCUGCGAUAAGCGUCGGUGAGGUGAUAUGAACCGUUAUAACCGGCGAUUUCCGAAUGGGGAAACCCAGUGUGUUUCGACACACUAUCAUUAACUGAAUCCAUAGGUUAAUGAGGCGAACCGGGGGAACUGAAACAUCUAAGUACCCCGAGGAAAAGAAAUCAACCGAGAUUCCCCCAGUAGCGGCGAGCGAACGGGGAGGAGCCCAGAGCCUGAAUCAGUGUGUGUGUUAGUGGAAGCGUCUGGAAAGGCGCGCGAUACAGGGUGACAGCCCCGUACACAAAAAUGCACAUAUUGUGAGCUCGAUGAGUAGGGCGGGACACGUGGUAUCCUGUCUGAAUAUGGGGGGACCAUCCUCCAAGGCUAAAUACUCCUGACUGACCGAUAGUGAACCAGUACCGUGAGGGAAAGGCGAAAAGAACCCCGGCGAGGGGAGUGAAAAAGAACCUGAAACCGUGUACGUACAAGCAGUGGGAGCCUCUUAAUGGGGUGACUGCGUACCUUUUGUAUAAUGGGUCAGCGACUUAUAUUCUGUAGCAAGGUUAACCGAAUAGGGGAGCCGAAGGGAAACCGAGUCUUAACUGGGCGUUAAGUUGCAGGGUAUAGACCCGAAACCCGGUGAUCUAGCCAUGGGCAGGUUGAAGGUUGGGUAACACUAACUGGAGGACCGAACCGACUAAUGUUGAAAAAUUAGCGGAUGACUUGUGGCUGGGGGUGAAAGGCCAAUCAAACCGGGAGAUAGCUGGUUCUCCCCGAAAGCUAUUUAGGUAGCGCCUCGUGAAUUCAUCUCCGGGGGUAGAGCACUGUUUCGGCAAGGGGGUCAUCCCGACUUACCAACCCGAUGCAAACUGCGAAUACCGGAGAAUGUUAUCACGGGAGACACACGGCGGGUGCUAACGUCCGUCGUGAAGAGGGAAACAACCCAGACCGCCAGCUAAGGUCCCAAAGUCAUGGUUAAGUGGGAAACGAUGUGGGAAGGCCCAGACAGCCAGGAUGUUGGCUUAGAAGCAGCCAUCAUUUAAAGAAAGCGUAAUAGCUCACUGGUCGAGUCGGCCUGCGCGGAAGAUGUAACGGGGCUAAACCAUGCACCGAAGCUGCGGCAGCGACGCUUAUGCGUUGUUGGGUAGGGGAGCGUUCUGUAAGCCUGCGAAGGUG